AUUGAACGCUGGCGGCAGGCCUAACACAUGCAAGUCGAGCGGAGCGGCGGACGGGGGAGUAAUGCCUAGGAAUCUGCCUGGUCGUAGGGGAUAACGUCCGGAAACGGGCGCUAAUACCGCCUACUCUCAGAUGAGGCUAGGUCGGAUUAGCUAGUUGGGGGGGUAAAGGCCUACCAGGGCGACGAUCCGUAACUGGUCUGAGAGGAUGAACAGUACCACUGGAACUGAGACACGGCCCAGACUCCUACGUGAGGCAGCAGUGGGGAAUAUUGGACAAUGGGCGAAAGCCUGAUCCAGCCAUGCCGCGUGUGUGAAGAAGGUCUUCGGAUUGUAAAGCACUUUAAGUUGGGAGGCGUUACCAACAGAAUAAGCACCGGCUAACUUCGUGCCAGCCGCCGCGGUAAUUC
rnacentral:rRNA from 1 species